rnacentral:tRNA from 1 species
GCGGACGUGGUGGAAUUGGUAGACGCACUGGAUUUAGGUUCCAGCGCCGCAAGGCGUGAGAGUUCGAGUCUCUCCGUCCGCACCA